AUUGAACGCUAGCGGCAGGCUUAACACAUGCAAGUCGAGCGGAGAUGAGGUGCUUGCACCUUAUCUUAGCGGCGGACGGGUGAGUAAUGCUUAGGAAUCUACCCGACAGAGGGGGAUACCAGUUGGAAACGACUGUUAAUACCGCAUAAUGUCUACGGACCAAAGUGUGGGACCUUCGGGCCACAUGCUGUCGGAUGCGCCUACGUGGGAUUAGCUAGUUGGUGAGGUAAUGGCUCACCAAGGCGACGAUCCCUAGCUGGUUUGAGAGGAUGAUCAGCCACACUGGAACUGAGACACGGUCCAGACUCCUACGGGAGGCAGCAGUGGGGAAUAUUGGACAAUGGGCGCAAGCCUGAUCCAGCCAUGCCGCGUGUGUGAAGAAGGCCUUCGGGUUGUAAAGCGCUUUCCGUAGGGAGGAAGAGUUGAGUGUUAAUAGUACUCAGCUUUGACGUUACCUACAGAAGAAGCACCGGCUAACUCUGUGCCAGCCGCCGCAGUAACAC
rnacentral:rRNA from 1 species